CUCCUCACCUCACUCACCAACCUGCCCCUAACCUUAUCCCUUCACUAUCUCCCCACUGCUCCCUAUUCCAUGGUGGCUACAAGCCCACAACACACACACACACACUCUCUCUCUCUCUACCUCCUCAGGCCGCCCAUCCUCUUCGUCCCCAUCACUGGAGCAAGGUAUCAUAGGCUCGCACUCUCCCCAAUCUUCUCGGCCCCUCCUCAUCGAGUCUGUCGCCGAAGUGCCCAAGGAUCCGCUCGAGCUCGGCAUGGUCGCUGGGCGCGGGACUCAUCUCCAUCAGAUUGGGGGCAGUGGCAAUCGUGCGUCGCAACCUCCGCGCCCGGUGCCUCCAUCUCCAUCUCGCUCGUUGGUGGCUGGUCCCUGCAAGUGCAAGCCGGCGCCAUUAGACGAUCUAUUCCCCACUUCAACUUUCAUAUCUGCCCAUUACCCACUUCUUCUAAUCCCCAUUACCCACUUCUUCUAAUCCCUAAUUGCUAUCCAUUCUUGUAUAGUACAUAUGUAGCUCAGUAGUCUAGGUUUAAGCAUGAGAGUCAUUUUAGAAUUGGGGAGAAAAAUAGAAGUUGGGGUGAUCCUAUUUUGGUAUGCCUAAUCUUGGAGUAAGUUGUUCGAUUAGACGUUCUUAACUUGGUUGCGGCAACUGUUAUGAGUGGGGAUUCCAGUUAGUUACUAUUCUUCAGGCAACCAUGCUGCGAUAAAGCUAAUUGAUUGGUGGAUUAGAAUUCUAGGUGGCUAGGGGCGAUAGGGACCAAGACAGAUGAGGUUGAUUUGGCUUGAAUCCUGACAAAGAAAUUUACUUCUAUUUUAAAAAAUGAACACAUGUUCUUAGAUGUGCAGGGUUAAGUUUCCAAAUGCGAGGUUUAUAGCAAAUCAAAGAGGAUCAAGAGAAGCAUAGUACGAUAGUACAGUAGGAUAAGCAUGUAUGACUGUAGGAUAAUACAGUUUAAAGAAUGAUGAUGGUAUGGUUCUCAUAUAUAGAGGACGGUGGUUGGCUCAAAGAGUUUAUCACCUCAAAAAUUUCCUUUCUCGGAAUAACUUGCCUUAUGAGAAGUCCAUAAACAUCUCUGGCAUCUUCAGUAAUACUUACGGCAGCUGCACAAGUGUUAUUCAUGAUAUAGCACAACCUUUUAGAUAUAUUUCUUGUUGUCCCGGACCCCCUGUUAAAACAGAAGUGCUUUUGCAGGCUUACAAGAAAUGGAUUUUGAAGACCAUCUAACUAUCUAAGAGUCAUGGAAUUCGUUCCAUCCUACAUUUUUGGGACUCUGGAAUAAACACAAAGAUGGGAAUGGGGAUGCAUACCUGCCUGCCAUACACAUUGAGAGGUUUUCAAUACUCAUCCCGAAGCUUGUCAGCGUUGUACAGAAGAAGUGAUUGACAGGUUUACUUCAUGAUAUUCUUGGCUUUUGUUUUGGCCAAAAUGAUCAGGCAGGUGUGUUGCCUGAUGAGUUUGUCGGUGCCUACGUCAGCGGCCGCGGAAGGGGGCGAUGGCCAAAACUAGCUGGGCGGCGAAGGCGCAACAAUGGCUUGCGGCGCCGACGUCUCACUGCAGUGUCUGUCUGAACAGCGACAUCAAAGAAAGACACUGAGAUUAACUGGGAUGGAACCGGCCACAUAUUGUGCACAAGAGGAUAGUCUGCACCUGCUUUCGCGAGAAGCUCUUCGGCGCGGUCGUCGUCCGCGCCGCACGGCUGCGAUGGCGCAGGACAGGCUCUGCGGCUGCGACAUACGUCCGGGUGGGCAAGGGUAGGAAGAUCCAUCUGAUUCCCGUAAGUUUAGCCACUUGUUGUUAGGCAGACGUGUUUAAUUACCAUUAAUUGUGGCUAAUUUUCUGUAGUUUAGCAUUUGUUGUUAGGACACGAACAGAAUUUGUGGAACCGUUCCGAUCUUGCGCGAGCGUGGGUCGGUGGGUCCUGCAGAGUUUUCGUCCGCCAAGUUCUUUUGUUUAAUAGUAGUGUA